rnacentral:rRNA from 1 species
CCAUGCAAGUCGAGCGCCCCGCAAGGGGAGCGGCAGACGGGUGAGUAACGCGUGGGAAUCUACCCAUCCCUACGGAAUAACCCAGGGAAACUUGGACUAAUACCGUAUACGACCGAGAGGUGAAAGAUUUAUCGGGGAUGGAUGAGCCCGCGUUGGAUUAGCUAGUUGGUGAGGUAAAGGCUCACCAAGGCGACGAUCCAUAGCUGGUCUGAGAGGAUGAUCAGCCACACUGGGACUGAGACACGGCCCAGACUCCUACGGGAGGCAGCAGUGGGGAAUAUUGGACAAUGGGCGCAAGCCUGAUCCAGCCAUGCCGCGUGAGUGAUGAAGGCCCUAGGGUUGUAAAGCUCUUUCACCGGUGAAGAUAAUGACGGUAGCCGGAGAAGAAGCCCCGGCUAACUUCGUGCCAGCAGCCGCGGUAAUACGAAGGGGGCUAGCG